UCUUCAUGCAGGACGCUAGAAAUCAGUUUUUCUCUUCGGGAGUCGGUGACGACGCCAAUGAAACAGUCUUCGCAGUUGGAAUAGCACGAGUUGCUUUCGCAAAUCACUUGCUAAAUUCGUGCAUGAAACACUGACGUGAGAACCUGCAACGGUAGAGUUCGUGUUGUUUAAAUGUGAAGGUUUUGGGGAAUGUGAGAUGUGUGUGUGUGUGUGUGGUGGUCGCAGUUAUCGUCAUUGUUUGAGCAUUUUAGUUCAUGGGAGUGGAGUGGAGUGACAAUGGGAUGGAGGGAGAGUAACCGGCCAAAACCCAAUUAAUGUGGUUAAAUUUAGAUCUUAUGUGGAAGAACCAAGUGUGGUGGUUGCCGCGAUCCGUAUCAACGCAGUUGUUUUCAGAGCAAUUGUAAAUGUGGGGUAUGAUUUUGGAAUGUGGGCUGCUAAGGAAAGGUGAAAGAGAAAUAGAACUCGAAGGCAGCAACUGAAUUUUGUGCUCUGAGCUGAGGUGCAGACCCUUUGGACCUGGAAAGUUGCAUAUCAGAAAAUUAGGGUGUGCGUUCGGGUGAAACAAGGUGCAUCAAGUUUCCAGAGCUGGCGAGUAGCAGCAUGGACGUGCCUGAGAUAUGAGAUUGUGAUGGCUCCUGUGUUUUGUGUGUUUUGGGGUCAAUACUGGCAACGGAAUCGAGGCGGCUGAGUAUCAGUGCCCAGGUCCCAAUCUGUCGAAGACGUACACUUUGCACGAGAUACACCUCACCCUGAAGUGAAGGAAAUUUAUGCAGUGAUGCAUAGUAUGGUCGAGAAUCUAAAAGCUGAAGGUUGCAUUCCUGACACCAGGUUUGUAUAGCGCAACAUUGAUGAGGAAGACAAAGAAGGAUCUUUUUGCUCUAGUUUUGAGAAGAUUGCUGUAUGUGGCUUUUUGGAAACCAAUUCGGGCAUACAAGAACCUUCGGGUGUGCAUAGAUUAUCAUAUAUCAACUAAGUUUAUUUCAAAGGACACUGGACGAGAGAUCGUAGCCAAAGAAGCUAACCACCUCCACCAUUUCAAAGAUGGCGUAUGCUCUUGUGGCGACUACUGGUGAUCAGGUUACAGGACAUAUUCAAUGACAAGGUGCACUGAGUAUUGCUGUAGUAUUAUUUCUCUGAGGGUCUCCAGUGCAGCAGCUACUUUUCACCCCAUCACUUCCAACACUACCUACUUCACUUAGAUAUAUCAGGUUUGGCCUCUUCUUCAGAGAUUGGACAUUUGGACCAUGUGUGACAACAAAGAUUCGUCUGACACUGAAGUUUGUAGAAAUGCUUGAGGAUAAUAUUUUGGAGUGUUCUGGCGUUGUGCGGAAAAAGAGAUUCUAGAACGGAUGGUCAAGAGACCAGAGUAAGAAGAGCGCCUCCUCCAGAGACGGGAUGAUUCCUUUAUGCCCAUAGAACUUAUGGGUACACAAGAAGGCAUGCCCAAUUUUGUGUGUCAGUUUGGUAGUUUUGAAAGGGGCUGAUUGUCCAUCUUUCAGGUCGCGAAGAUUUUGUCCUUUUGAUUCUUUUGCAUUCCAGGUCAGUGUCUAACCACUCGCUUCUGAUUUUGACAUUGCGUUCAAUCUGCUUUAUGCUGAAGUCUCUUCAAUGAGUCGAGGUCUGUAAUUAUUGUCACCUUGGUUAGCGACGCCUCACAGAACAAAGGACUUAUCAAGUCCAGUAACGGCCCUACAACCACCAGCUCAUGGUUUUUGAACUAAAGUGUAGUUUUCGCAGUAGUCUCAGUAAUGUUAUGAGUUCUAGUAGGCCCUUUAUCCUAACCCAAUUGAUCGCCAAACAUUGGUAAGUCCUGCAAAAGCAUAUGAUAGUGAGAAAUGGUUUACAAAGACAUAACUAUAAUUCCACCCUGCAACUUACCAGGGAUGUACAUGAACCAUCUUUUUUUGCUGUAUUGACAUUCGUACUUCAGCACAGUUCUCAAUAUGUGUGGAAUCAAAGAAACUGGUUGUCAACUCAACAUUCUGUCUGGAAACAUGAAGAAUGGUUGCCAACCAGGUCCUUCCGACAUGAUCCACUAACCAUUUGUCAGCUUGUAUUAGCAGCAUUUUAUUUAAAGCAACCCACUGAAAAAAGCAGUUCGUUUGGGAUUUAA